UACGAAGGGGGCUAGCGUUGCUCGGAAUUACUGGGCGUAAAGGGCGCGUAGGCGGAUAGUUUAGUCAGAGGUAAAAGCCCAGGGCUCAACCUUGGAACUGCCUUUGAUACUGGCUAUCUUGAGUUCGGGAGAGGUGAGUGGAACUGCGAGUGUAGAGGUGAAAUUCGUAGAUAUUCGCAAGAACACCAGUGGCGAAGGCGGCUCACUGGCCCGAUACUGACGCUGAGGAGCGAAAAGCGUGGGGAGCGAACAGG
rnacentral:rRNA from 1 species